GAGAUGAAUGCCGCAGAUGGUGCUGCCGCCGGAGCAAUCCGGCGGGUGGCUGAAAAGGGAACACGGUGCGGAUUACCCAUCAGGGGCCAAAACCGUGGCUGCCCCCGCAACUGUAAGCGGAGAGCGCGUUCGCAGCAUGCCACUGGCGUCAAGCCGGGAAGGCGCGAACGAGCUAUGACCCGCGAGCCAGGAGACCUGCCAUCGACGAUAUCAACCG
rnacentral:ncRNA from 2 species